AAGCUGUGGAUUGUCCUUUGGACAAUGGUAGGAGAGCGUUCUAAGGGCGUCGAAGCAUGAUCGCAAGGACAUGUGGAGCGCUUAGAAGUGAGAAUGCCGGUGUGAGUAGCGAAAGACGGGUGAGAAUCCCGUCCACCGAUUGACUAAGGUUUCCAGAGGAAGGCUCGUCCGCUCUGGGUUAGUCGGGUCCUAAGCUGAGGCCGACAGGCGUAGGCGAUGGAUAACAGGUUGAUAUUCCUGUACCACCUAGUAUCGUUUUAAUCGAUGGGGGGACGCAGUAGGAUAGGCGAAGCGUGCUGUUGGAGUGCACGUCCAAGCAGUAAGGCUGAGUGUUAGGCAAAUCCGGCACUCAUAAGGCUGAGCUGUGAUGGGGAGAGGAAAUUGUUUCCUCGAGUCGUUGAUUUCACACUGCCGAGAAAAGCCUCUAGAUAGAUAACAGGUGCCCGUACCGCAAACCGACACAGGUAGUCAAGAUGAGAAUUCUAAGGUGAGCGAGCGAACUCUCGUUAAGGAACUCGGCAAAAUGACCCCGUAACUUCGGGAGAAGGGGUGCUCUUUAGGGUUCACGCCCAGAAGAGCCGCAGUGAAUAGGCCCAAGCGACUGUUUAUCAAAAACACAGGUCUCUGCUAAACCGUAAGGUGAUGUAUAGGGGCUGACGCCUGCCCGGUGCUGGAAGGUUAAGAGGAGUGGUUAGCUUCUGCGAAGCUACGAAUCGAAGCCCCAGUAAACGGCGGCCGUAACUAUAACGGUCCUAAGGUAGCGAAAUUCCUUGUCGGGUAAGUUCCGACCCGCACGAAAGGCGUAACGAUUUGGGCACUGUCUCAACGAGAGACUCGGUGAAAUCAUAGUACCUGUGAAGAUGCAGGUUACCCGCGACAGGACGGAAAGACCCCGUGGAGCUUUACUGUAGCCUGAUAUUGAAAUUCGGCACAGCUUGUACAGGAUAGGUAGGAGCCUUUGAAACGUGAGCGCUAGCUUACGUGGAGGCGUUGGUGGGAUACUACCCUAGCUGUGUUGGCUUUCUAACCCGCACCACUUAUCGUGGUGGGAGACAGUGUCAGGCGGGCAGUUUGACUGGGGCGGUCGCCUCCUAAAAGGUAACGGAGGCGCUCAAAGGUUCCCUCAGAAUGGUUGGAAAUCAUUCAUAGAGUGUAAAGGCAUAAGGGAGCUUGACUGCGAGACCUACAAGUCGAGCAGGGUCGAAAGACGGACUUAGUGAUCCGGUGGUUCCGCAUGGAAGGGCCAUCGCUCAACGGAUAAAAGCUACCCCGGGGAUAACAGGCUUAUCUCCCCCAAGAGUUCACAUCGACGGGGAGGUUUGGCACCUCGAUGUCGGCUCAUCGCAUCCUGGGGCUGUAGUCGGUCCCAAGGGUUGGGCUGUUCGCCCAUUAAAGCGGUACGCUAGCUGGGUUCAGAACGUCGUGAGACAGUUCGGUCCCUAUCCGUCGUGGGCGUAGGAAAUUUGAGAGGAGCUGUCCUUAGUACGAGAGGACCGGGAUGGACAUACCUCUGGUGUACCAGUUGUCGUGCCAACGGCAUAGCUGGGUAGCUAUGUAUGGACGGGAUAAGUGCUGAAAGCAUCUAAGCAUGAAGCCCCCCUCAAGAUGAGAUUUCCCAACUUCGGUUAUAAGAUCCCUCGAAGAUGACGAGGUUAAUAGGUUCGAGGUGGAAGCGUGGUGACACGUGGAGCUGACGAAUACUAAUCGAUCGAAGACUUAAUCAAUUUUUAAA
rnacentral:rRNA from 1 species